UACGUAGGUGACCAGCGUUGUCCGGAUUUACUGGGCGUAAAGAGCGCGCAGGCGGUCGUUCAAGUCGAGUGUGAAAGCCCCCGGCUCAACUGGGGAGGGUCAUUCGAUACUGAUCGACUUGAAGGCAGGAGAGGGAAGCGGAAUUCCCGGUGUAGUGGUGAAAUGCGUAGAUAUCGGGAAGAACACCGGUGGCGAAAGCGCUCUGCUGGGCCGCAACUGACACUCAGGGACGAAAGCUAGGGGAGCGAAUGGG
rnacentral:rRNA from 1 species